GUAUCAGUUACCAUUAGGUCGUCAAAGUAACUUGGAAAAUAGUCAAGAUGAAAUCCGUCAUCGUCUUCGCUCUCCUCGUUGUUUGCGCUUGCGCCGUCCCUACUCCUGACAUGAAAUGGACCGCCCAAUACGGAUCGUACCCUACCGGGAGUAUCAUCCCCCUCCGGUACGGUCUAAAUCGACCAUUCAUCAUACCCCAGCCUGGGUUAUACCCAGCCCAGCCACUGACAUACCCACAGCCGUACGUGCCGAUUAGCUAUGGCUCGGCGGUCGUCAGAUCGUAUGACCCAGAGUACUUCUACAAGAAGAAUGGAUUUUACCCCGAGAACUGAAGUUUUAAUGUUCAAAUCUCUAAAUAAAAUGUCACAUGCAUGAAA